rnacentral:rRNA from 1 species
CUACGGGUUGCAGCAGUGGGGAAUCUUGGACAAUGGGCGCAAGCCUGAUCCAGCCAUGCCGCGUGAGUGAAGAAGGUCUUCGGAUUGUAAAGCUCUUUUGCCAGGGACGAUAAUGACGGUACCUGGAGAAUAAGCCCCGGCAAACUUCGUGCCAGCAGCCGCGGUAAUACGAAGGGGGCUAGCGUUGUUCGGAAUUACUGGGCGUAGAGCGCACGUAGGCGGGUCGUUAAGUCAGGGGUGAAAUCCCGGAGCUCAACUCCGGAACUGCCUUUGAUACUGGCGAUCUUGAGAUCGGAAGAGGUGAGUGGAAUUCCCAGUGUAGAGGUGAAAUUCGUAGAUAUUGGGAAGAACACCAGUGGCGAAGGCGGCUCACUGGUCCGAUACUGACGCUGAGGUGCGAAAGCGUGGGGAGCAAACAGGAUUAGAUACCCCAGUAGUC